GGUCGAUCGUGAGACGCCUGGAUGGUCUUUCACUUAAAGGAGGUUGGGAACAUGCUUUCAACUUUGCCUAAGGAUGGGACUGCGGACGAUCAGGUUGUUGGUAGGGUAACGGCCUACCAAGCCUAUAACCGAUACGGGCCCUGAGAGGGGUAGCCCGGAGAUGGGAACUGAGACAAGGUCCCAGGCCCUACGGGGCGCAGCAGGCGCGAAAACUCCACAAUGCACGAAUGUGUGAUGGGGUUAACCCGAGUGCUGUCCGAAAAGGAUAGCUUUUCCUCAUCCUAACAAGCUGAGGGAAUAAGAGGGGGGCAAGACUGGUGUCAGCCGCCGCGGUAAUACCAGCUCCUCGAGUGGUGGGGACGAUUAUUUAGCCUAAAGCGUUCGUAGCCGGCUUAGCAAGUCCUUCGUGAAAUCCAGCGAUCCAAUCGUUGGGCGUGCGAUGGAUACUGUUAGGCUAGGAGGCGGGAGAAGUCGACGGUAGUCCCGGGGUAGGGGUGAAAUCCUAUAAUCCUGGGAGGACCACCAGUGGCGAAGGCGGUCGACUAGAACGCGCUCGACGGUGAUGGACGAAAGCUGGGGGAGCGAACCGGAUUAGAUACCCGGGUAGUCCCAGCUGUAAACGAUGCGAGCUAGGUGUUGGGACAGCUACG
rnacentral:rRNA from 1 species